CGGCAGGCCUAACACAUGCAAGCCGAGGGGUAAGUCUCUUUCGGGAGAACACGACCGGCGCACGGGUGAGUAACGCGUAUGCAACCUACCUUUGGCACGGGGACAGCCCGGGGAAACCCGGAUUAAUACCCGGUAUAGUCUAUUAUACACCUGUAUAAAAGACGAGAGCUACGGCGGCCAAAGAUGGGCAUGCGUGCCAUUAGUUAGUUGGUAGGGUAACGGCCUACCAAGGCAUCGAUGGCUACGGGGUCUAAAAGGAUGAGCCCGCACACUGGUACUGAGACACGGACCAGACUCCUACGGGAGGCAGCAGUGAGGAAUAUUGGUCAAUGGGUGGAAGCCUGAACCAGCCAUGCCGCGUGCAGGAAGACGGCCUUAUGGGUUGUAAACUGCUUUUCUACGGGACGAACGGCUCUGACGUGUCAGAGAUUGACGGUACCGUAGGAAUAAGCAUCGGCUAACUCCGUGCCAGCAGCCGCGGUAAUACGGAGGAUGCGAGCGUUAUCCGGAUUUAUUAGGUUUAAAGGGUGCGUAGGCUGGGCAAUAAGUCAGUGGUGAAAGUCCGCGGCUCAACCGUGGGAUUGCCAUUGAAACUGUUGUUCUUGAGUACAGUCGAGGUAGGCGGAAUGUGUAAUGUAGCGGUGAAAUGCAUAGAUAUUACCCAGAACACCGAUUGCGUAGGCAGCUUACCAGCCUGGAACUGACGCUGAUGCACGAAAGCGUGGGGAGCGAACAGGAUUAGAUACCCUGGUAGUCCACGCCGUAAACGAUGAUCACUCGCUGUUGGCAAUAUAGAGUCAGCGGCUGAGCGAAAGCAUUAAGUGAUCCACCUGGGGAGUACGUCGGCAACGAUGAAA
rnacentral:rRNA from 1 species